UGGGGGAGAGGUUUUCUUCUGUGUUAGGAGGAAGCAGAGAAGCAGCAGCUCUGCCUGUGCAUCUCUCUGCUCCUUUCUUUGAAUGCAGCUCUGUUGAAAUGCAAUGCUCAGGGCUGCUGCAGCCAGUUCAUGACUGUGACCGAGGAGAAAAGAAAAUCAGAGAUGCCAGCCCUGUGUCCUACCAUCACCGAGCCUCCUUAGCCUCCCUGGAACUGUCUUUAUCUGGAUUCGUUGUUAUGAACACCUGCUGUCUGGACCACCUUUGCCCGGUGACUUCUCUGCACCACUCCAUCCACAGCCUUCCUUCACUCUUCCGCACUGUGCCAUAAUCCUGCUGCCUUAACAGCACCGUGUGCGUCUUCUGUUACAGCGUUUAUCACACCUUAUUGAAUGUGUUGCUUACUUGCCCCCACAACCCCAUGAUGAAACAGAGAUUAUGAAUUUUCAUGGAAUUGAAAGAUGUGCUGCUGUGUCAGAGGAGGCUAAAGCAAGAAACGGGAGCUUUCUGAGAUAUAGUCAGAUUCUGAUUGCGUCGUUGUUCAGUCUUCACAGAAUUCCCAUUCAGAAAGUGUGCAGGUUGAAUUUAAUUGAACCUAAUUCAUGGAACGGAAAAUAUAUUCCUCAUUUGAAAAUUCUCUAGGAUGCAAGGUCCUUAUUUUAGGUCCCUUUGAAUCCUCAGCACUCUGCACGGUUCCUCACAUGGUGUAGACCCUCCUCAAAUACGAGAGUCAACGGAAGGGUUUUGUUUUCACGUUUUGCUGCCUCAUUUAACUCCAAAUCUGCUUAUUAUUGGUUUGUUCUAACCCCUUUUUGUGCCUUCAGCACAUUACUUAUUGGUAACAGAAGUUGGCAGGAAAGAACAAGGUGAUACCUAUUUUGGCCAUGAUGACUGUGUUGUCAGUGCACAGCUCUGUGGCAUGGCCUACAUCGACAUGGCUGUGCCUUUCUAUCUUCUUCCAUCUUCUCAAACCGAAGCUUAACAAUACCCCACCCCCUUUCCCUGUUCCCUGGCAACCACAAUUCUACUCUCUGUCUGAAUACGAAUACUGUAGGUACCUGAUAAAAAUGGAAUCAUGCAGUAUCUGUCCUUUUGUGACUGGCUUAUUAGACUUAGCAUGAUGCCUUCAACAUCUAUCCUUGGGCUCCUGAUGUGGCUCAAGUGGUAGCGCACUCACCUGGCAUGCGUGAGGCACUGGGUCUGAUCCUCAGCACCACAUAAAAAUACAAAAAGAUUAAAAAAAAAGAUCCAUCCAUGUCGUAGUAUUUGUCAAAGGUUCCUUCCUUUUAAGGCUGUAUAACAUUCCACUUCCACAUGUUGUGCUUUGGAUCUGAAAUGUCCCCAGAGUCUCAUGAGUUGAAGGCUUGGUCCCCGCUGCAGCAGUGUUCAGAGGUGAGGCUUUGGAAAGGUGAUGGAAGCAUGUGCUCUAACCUCCUCAGUAGAUUAGUCCAUGGAUGGAUUAAUAAUUCGGUGGCAUUACUGGAAGGUGGUGGGAACUGCAGAAGGUGUGGCCUGGCUGGAGGAAGUCAGUCACCGCUGCAGGACUUUGGGAGGGUUGCCUUUGUCUCAGCCUCCUCUUUGCUGCCUCCCUGCAUCCUGACUGCCAAGAGGUGAGCGGCUGUCCUCUGCCACACGCUUCCUCCUCUGCCUCAUCGCAGGCCGGGGAACAGUGGAGCCAGCCAACGAUGUAUUGAGACCUCUGAAAUCUUGAGCCAAAAUAAAUCUCUUCUCUAAAUUUUUCUAGUUAUUUUGCCACAGAGAUGAAAAGCUGAUUUGUUUGCCCGUUUAUCUAUUGAUGGCUACUUGGGUUGCUUCCCUUUUUGGCUGUUGUAACACUGUAUAUACACUGUUGCGUACUAUAUAUCCAUAUGUACAUGGAUAUACAGUACACCCUCGCUGUAAUCACACCUCCCCUGCAGGAUGUGCAUCAGGAGUUACUUUAAAAAUCUUCAGCAUCAUCAGAAUUAAGAACUUGUGACUUAAAGGACAGCAUCAAGAAAGCGACAAUUCAACUCAUACAUUGGAAGUAUUUGCACAUCAUAUAAGUGACUUAUAUCCAGAAUAUAUAAAGAAUGUAAUAACAACAAAGAGACAAAUAACCCAAUUUAAAAAUAGGCAAAGGAUCUGAGGAGACAUUUCUCCAAAGAAGAUAUACAAAUAGCCAAUCAAUGCAUGAAAAGAUGUUCAGUAUCAUUGGUUGUCAUGAAUAUGCAAAACAAAACCACAAUGAGAUACAACUUCAUACCCAGUAGGAUGGCUGUAAUUAAAAAGAUAGUCAAUAACAAGUGUUGAGGAGGAGAAAUUGGGAACCUCAUACAGUGCUUGUGGAAAGGUUAAAUAGUAGUCACUUUGAAAACAGUUUAUCAUUUCCUCAAAACGCUAAAUGUAAAGUUACCUAUGACUCAGUUAUGUUAUGCUCAAGAGAAAUGGAAAACGUGUUCACACAAAAACUUGUACAUAAUUAUUCACACCAACAUUAUGCAUAAUAGCCAAAAAGUGUAUAAACCAACCCAGAUUUUCUUUAAUUAAUAAAUGAAUAAGCAAAAUGUAGUAUAUUCCCAUAAGGGAAGGUUAUUUGUUAAUAAAAAGAAUUAAUUACUGAUACAUUCUGUAACAUGAGUGAACCUAAAAAGCAUGCUAAGUGAAAUAAGGCGGUCACAAAACACCACAUAUCAUGAAAUCCUAUUUAUACAAAAUGUCCAGAAUAGGCAAUAUAUAGAAACAGCAAAUUAGUGGUUACCUAGGAUUUGGGAGGUGUGGGAAAUGGGGAUGAUGAAAGUUCUAAAAUCGGGUUAUAGUGGUGGUUGUAAUAUGUUAGAUAUACUAAAAACCAUUGACUUCUAUAUUUAAAUGGGUUAACUUGAUGGUAUGUAAAUUAUUUAUCAAUAAAGCUGUUUGGGGAAACAGUGGCGCUAUUCCAGUAAGCCACAAGGUGAGAGGCUAUGUCCUGAAGCGGUCUUUUGUUUUUUUAGUCCUCCAUGAAAUAGAAUUCUGUGCUCUGUCUGUGGAGAAAAAGAAAUUAGGAAAUUUGUCAUUGAAAAUUCAGGGAAAAAAGAAAAUUAAAAUAUUUUGUUAUUCAAGUUUUUAAGAUAUGAAAUUAUUGGCAAUAACAAAUUCUGGUAAUAACAUUUUUCCAUUUUCUAAAAAUGCAACAUGUUUUUCUUUCACAAGUAAGGACUGAAUUAAUGAAAUUGAGCUUUGCAUCUGAGAACUUCAACCAACCUUAAGGAUAUUUUUUGCGUCUCUUCCUUGGCGCAUGUAUCUCUCUGGCUUUGUAGGAAACCUCUGUGCGCCGUGUCACUGUAUCUCUAGAGCUCCUGUCUGGAGUCCUCUCUCUCCUGCACAUGGCUGUCUUCUUCCUCAGUUGGUGUUUGGUCCCUGAUGCUCAACUGACCUUUGAAAACCAGUCUCUCUUCCCUCUGUCCAAUAAGUGAAUUUAGGCUCAUUAUUAGGUGUGGUUAGAGCCUAAUUGGGGACUGGGAUGUAGCUCUGUGGUAGAACAUUUUCAUGGUGUGUGCGAGGCUCUGGGUUCCAUUCCUAGUACUACUAACUAUUGCAAUAAAAAGAUUAAUUGAGAAA